rnacentral:lncRNA from 1 species
CCGGCUCCCGGAGGUGCUCUCGACGAGGUUUGGCCGCGCGCGGACGUCGUAGAUGAUGGGCCUCUCGAACCAGGGGAUGACGAUGUGGGUCCCCUCCGGGUAGACCUGCGCAGACAAAGGCGACCAGAUGUCAAAUCGCGUAGAGGAACGGCGGGGAGCAAGCGAAGCCGUGGCGCGCGCGGCCGGGAUCGACGGAUCCGCGCGAGGGGAGGGGAGGGGAGGGGGUAACCUUGUCCUUGAUCCCCUCGAGGCGGUUGAAGACGAUGGCCCGGUGGCCUCCCUCGACGUUGUAGAGGGUCUUGUUGCCGAGGUAGAGCGCGGCGCCGCCGAGCAGCCCGAGCUUGACCAGCGCGCCCACGCCCGCCGGCGCGCUCGGCAUCCGCGCGCCCUUGAAGUUCA